rnacentral:rRNA from 1 species
GUAGGUGGCAAGCGUUGUCCGGAUUUACUGGGUGUAAAGGGCGUGCAGCCGGGAGUGCAAGUCAGAUGUGAAAUUCCGCGGCUCAACCGCGGAACUGCAUUUGAAACUGUGCUUCUUGAGUGCUGGAGAGGCAGACGGAAUUCCUAGUGUAGCGGUGAAAUGCGUAGAUAUUAGGAGGAACACCAGUGGCGAAGGCGGUCUGCUGGACAGUAACUGACGGUGGGGCGCGAAAGCGUGGGGAGCAAA